rnacentral:rRNA from 1 species
CUGGCGGCGUGCCUAACACAUGCAAGUCGAGCGAGGAGAUCCUUCGGGAUGAUCCUAGCGGCGGACGGGUGAGUAACACGUGGGCAACCUGCCUCAUAGAGAGGAAUAGCCUUCCGAAAGGGAGAUUAAUACCUCAUAACAUUGCAGUUUCGCAUGGAACAGACAAUUAAAGGAGUAAUCCGCUAUGAGAUGGGCCCGCGGCGCAUUAGCUAGUUGGUGAGGUAACGGCUCACCAAGGCGACGAUGCGUAGCCGACCUGAGAGGGUGAUCGGCCACAUUGGGACUGAGACACGGCCCAGACUCCUACGGGAGGCAGCAGUGGGGAAUAUUGCACAAUGGGGGAAACCCUGAUGCCAGCAACGCCGCGUGAGUGAUGACGGCCUUCGGGUUGUAAAGCUCUGUCUUCAGGGGACGAUAAUGACGGUACCUGAGGAGGAAGCCACGGCUAACUACGUGCCAGCCGCCGC